GAUGAAGAACGUAGUGAAAUGCGAUAAGUAGUGUGAAUUGCAGAAUUCAGUGAAUCAUCGAAUCUUUGAACGCACAUUGCGCCCCUUGGUAUCCCGAGGGGCAUGCCUGUUCGAGCGUCAUUUCACCACUCAAGCCUGGCUUGGUGUUGGGCGACGUCCCCUUUGGGGACGCGCCUCGAAACGCUCGGCGGCGUGGCACCGGCUUUAAGCGUAGCAGAAUCUUUCGCUUUGGAAGUCGGGGCCCCGUCUGCCGGAAGACCUACUCGCAAGGUUGACCUCGGAUCAGGCAGGGAUACCCGCUGAACUUAAGCAUAUCAAUAAGCGGAGGA
rnacentral:misc_RNA from 1 species